CUUUGCUGUUGUUACAAAUUACUCGACCUACAGCAGUUGGCCGAGUAUCCCUGUGAAUUAGUCACUGGAUAACCAGGGAAUUUAUGCAGUGAAUUCAUAUUUAUAGAUAAUUUGUUAGUUUUACAGUUCAUGGUUAUUACAAACAUUUUACAAACUAUAUUGUUUCAUGAUUACGGAAAGUGUACAGUUUUGUCCGGUUUUGUUUCUAAAGAUUAAAACUUUAUGAUCAUUGACCUUUAACCUUAUUGAUGAAAACAGUUGAAGCUGGUUGAUCAAUUCUUUAGAAUGGCCCUUCAUGUAUGAAUCCCUAUUAAAAUUUGGAGUACCACCUUCCUUCUUAAAAUGGGUAAAAACUUUAUAUGAUGAUACUAAAGGAUGCCUAUCUAAUAACGGCUGGAUCUCAGAAACCUAUAGACUUCACCGUGGUAUAAAACAAGGAUGUCCGUUAAGUUCUCUUAUGUUUGUAAUAGCAGUUGAAAUC
rnacentral:lncRNA from 1 species